rnacentral:rRNA from 1 species
ACGAACGCUGGCGGCAUGCCUAACACAUGCCAGUCGAACGAGACCUUCGGGUCUAGUGGCGCACGGGUGCGUAACGCGUGGGAAUCUACCCUCAGGUUCGGAAUAACUCAGAGAAAUUUGAGCUAAUACCGGAUGAUGACGUAAGUCCAAAGAUUUAUCGCCUGAGGAUGAGCCCGCGUAGGAUUAGGUAGUUGGUGAGGUAAAGGCUCACCAAGCCGACGAUCCUUAGCUGGUCUGAGAGGAUGAUCAGCCACACUGGGACUGAGACACGGCCCAGACUCCUACGGGAGGCAGCAGUGGGGAAUAUUGGACAAUGGGCGAAAGCCUGAUCCAGCAAUGCCGCGUGAGUGAUGAAGGCCUUAGGGUUGUAAAGCUCUUUUACCCGGGAUGAUAAUGACAGUACCGGGAGAAUAAGCUCCGGCUAACUCCGUG